rnacentral:sRNA from 1 species
ACACUUGUCACGUCAGGCGCGGAGCUGCG